UCUGGGCGUAAGCGCGCGCAGGCGGUUAUGUAAGACAGAUGUGAAACCCGGGCUCACCUGGGAACUGCAUUUGUGACUGCAUGGCUAGAGUGCGGGAGAGGGGGGUGGAAUUCCGCGUGUAGCAGUGAAAUGCGUAGAUAUGCGGAGGAACACCGAUGGCGAAGGCAGCCCCCUGGACUGGUACUGACGCUCAUGCGCGAAAGCGUGGGGAGCAAACAGGAUUAGAUACCCUGGUAGUCCACGCCCUAAACGAUGUCAACUAGCUGUUGGGGAUCUUGUUUCUCGGUAAGGAAACUCACGCGUGAAGUUGACCGCCUGGGGAGUACCGGCGCCAGGGUUG
rnacentral:rRNA from 1 species